GGGGGAUAUUGCACAAUGGAGGAAACUCUGAUGCAGCAACGCCGCGUGAGUGAAGAAGGUUUUCGGAUUGUAAAGCUCUGUCAUCUGGGACGAUAAUGACGGUACCAGAUGAGGAAGCCACGGCUAACUACGUGCCAGCAGCCGCGGUAAUACGUAGGUGGCAAGCGUCGUCCGGAAUUACUGGGCGUAAAGGGUGCGCAGGCGGACAUUUAAGUGAGAUGUGAAAGACCCGGGCUUAACUUGGGCAGUGCAUUUCAAACUGGAUGUCUGGAGUGCAGGAGAGGAGAACGGAAUUCCUAGUGUAGCGGUGAAAUGCGUAGAGAUUAGGAAGAACACCAGUGGCGAAGGCGGUUCUCUGGACUGUAACUGACGCUGAGGCACGAAAGCGUGGGUAGCAAAC
rnacentral:rRNA from 1 species